UACGGGGGGGGCAAGCGUUGUUCGGAAUUACUGGGCGUAAAGCGCACGUAGGCGGAUUUGUAAGUCAGGGGUGAAAUCCCGAGGCUCAACCUCGGAACUGCCUUUGAUACUGCAAAUCUCGAGUCCGGAAGAGGUGAGUGGAAUUCCUAGUGUAGAGGUGAAAUUCGUAGAUAUUAGGAAGAACACCAGUGGCGAAGGCGGCUCACUGGUCCGGUACUGACGCUGAGGUGCGAAAGCGUGGGGAGCAACAGG
rnacentral:rRNA from 1 species